UACGUAGGGGGCAAGCGUUGUCCGGAUUUAUUGGGCGUAAAGAGCGUGUAGGCGGCCAGGUAGGUCGGUUGUGAAAACUGGAGGCUCAACCUUCAGAGGUCGACCGAAACCAUCUGGCUAGAGUCCGGGAGAGGAGAGUGGAAUUCCCGGUGUAGCGGUGAGAUGCGCAGAUAUCGGGAAGAACACCCGUGGCGAAGGCGGCUCUCUGGGACGGUACUGACGCUGAGACGCGAAAGCGUGGGGAGCGAACAGG
rnacentral:rRNA from 1 species